rnacentral:rRNA from 1 species
GAGUACAGCUCAAAGCGCGUGGUAAACUCCACGUAAGGCUAAAUAUGACCCCGAGACCGAUAGCGAACAAGUACCGUGAGGGAAAGUUGAAAAGCACUUUGAAGAGAGAGUUCAAGAGUACGUGAAACCGCUUAGUAGUAAACGGAGGGACUCUCGAAGUCGGCGGUGACGGUUCAGGGUGACGGCGGGGCGGCCUGGGGGCGUGGGAUCCGCAAGGACCCUGUCCCUUUGUCAGCUCUGUCGGCGCCUGCACUUCGUUGCCGCCAUACGCGAUGAACCGUUUUCGGCGGACCGAGGGCGUGGGUGAAGUUUGUUGGCCUCGGCUUUCAAGCCCCGCGUUCCUGGCUCUGUCGGGGACGGGUAGUGGAGCGAUCUCUUAUAGAGAGUGCCCUUGCUGGCACGGUUCGCAUCUCUAUCGCGAGUAGGUCGGCGGUCCCUCCGACCCGUCUUGAAACACGGACCAAGGAGUUUAACAUGUGCGCGAGCCAUUGGGUGUUCGAAACCCAAAGGCGCAGUGAAAGCAAAGUCUGACUUGUCAGAUGAGGGGUGAUCCUUCACGGGCGCAACCCCGGAGCUUCGCAUCGACCUCGCUUCGUGCGGAGCAUCAAGAGCGUACACGUUGAGACCCGAAAGAUGGUGAACUAUGCCUGGCCAGGUUGAAGUCAGGGGAAACCCUGAUGGAGGACCGUAGCGAUUCUGACGUGCAAAUCGAUCGUCGGAGCUGGGUAUAGGGGCGAAAGACUAAUCGAACCAUCUAGUAGCUGGUUCCUUCCGAAGUUUCCCUCAGGAUAGCUGGUGCUCGUAAUCGAGUUUCAUCCGGUAAAGCGAAUGAUUAGAAGUAUUGGGGGCGAAACGCCCUCAACUUAUUCUCAAACUUUAAAUGGGUGAGAAGCGGGACUUGCUUAAUUGAAGCCUCGCAACGAAUCGGAGUGCCUAGUGGGCCAUUUUUGGUAAGCAGAACUGGCGCUGUGGGAUGAACCAAACGCGGGGUUAAAGUGCCAAAGUAGAAGCUCAUCAGAUCCCACGAAAGGUGUUGGUUGCUUAAGACAGCAGGACGGUGGCCAUGGAAGUCGGAAUCCGCUAAGGAGUGUGUAACAACUCACCUGCCGAAGCAACUAGCCCUGAAAAUGGAUGGCGCUAAAGCGCGCCACUUAUACUCAACCGUUGGAGCAGAGCCGGCUCUUUGCAGCCCUGACGCUCCAACGAGUAGGAAGGUCGCGUGGGUGGCGCCGAAGGCUUUUGGGUGUGAACCUGGCCGGAGCCGCCCACGGUGCAGAUCUUGGUGGUAGUAGCAAAUACUCCAGAGAGGCCCUGGAGGACCGAUGUGGAGAAGGGUUUCGUGUGAACAGCCGUUGAACACGAGUCAGUCGAUCCUAAGGCUUAGGGGAAACCUUAAUCAAGCGUGCGGCGUUUCGACUGUGAAACCGCAACUUGGCCGAAAGGGAAUUUGGUCCUUAUUCCAAAACCUGGCCGUGGAACCGUUUCGGAAUCUCGCAUUCCGUCGUGGCAACGCGACACGACUGGGAGACGCCCACCGAAGCUCUGGGAAGAGUUGUCUUUUCUGCAUAAGCCGCCGAGGCCCUGGAAUCCUCUCGCAGGGCGAACGGGUUUUGGUUUUGGCGAAGAUCCUCGCAGUUCUCGCGAGGACCACGAGUGGUCGGUGGGACCUUGAAAAUCCCAGGGAGAUUACGGCGGACUCACGCCAGCUCGUACCCAUAUCCGCAGCAGGUCUCCAAGGUGAACAGCCUCUGGUCGAUAGAAUAAUGUAGGUAAGGGAAGUCGGCAAAUUGGAUCCGUAACUUCGGGAUAAGGAUUGGCUCUGAGGGUUGGGGCGGUCGGGCUUUGCACAGGAAGCGGCUGCGUCCACCGGCGGGCCUGGGCAAGUCCCACGAGGGUCGAACCCGGUCCCGUUCACGGGCCUCCGUGGAUUGUCAUUGCUUUGCGGGCUCGGCUUCGCGGCCGAUGUCCCGUUCGGUCGUCAAUCAACAACCAACUCAGAACUGGCACGGACAAGGGGAAUCCGACUGUCUAAUUAAAACAAAGCAUUGCGAUGGUCAGAGAGUGAUGUUGACGCAAUGUGAUUUCUGCCCAGUGCUCUGAAUGUCAAAGUGAAGAGGUUCGUCCAAGCGCGGGUAAACGGCGGGAGUAACUAUGACUCUCUUAAGGUAGCCAAAUGCCUCGUCAUCUAAUUAGUGACGCGCAUGAAUGGAUUAACGAGAUUCCCACUGUCCCUAUCUACUAUCUAGCGAAACCGCAGCCAAGGGAACGGACUUGGGAAAGUCAGCGGGGAAAGAAGACCCUGUUGAGUUUGACUCUAGUCUCCUUUUGUGGCGGAGCAUUUCUGGCGUAGAAUAGGGAGGAGGCUUCGGCCGUCAGUGAAAUACUCCUACGGAAAUCGCUCCUCUGCUUACUCGGUUAGGCGAAGUUAGGCCUUUCGGGGCCUAUUUCUAGAAUCAAACGGGCGGGCUUUGUUCUCGCCUGUGAUUCGCUCCGAGGACAUUGCGAGGCGGGGAGUUUGACUGGGGCGGUACAUCUGUCAAAUGAUAACGCAGGUGUCCUAAGGCCAGCUCAGUGAGGACGGAAACCUCACGCAGAGCAAAAGGGCAAAUGCUGGCUUGACCUCUCCCUUCAGUACGGGGCGAGGAGCAGAAAUGUCGGCCUAUCGAUCCUCUUUAUUUCGGAGUUUGAAGAAAGAGGUGUCAGAAAAAUUACCACAGGGAUAACUGGCUUGUGGCCGCCAAGAGUUCUUAUCGACGUGGCUUUUUGAUCCUUCGAUGUCGGCUCUUCCUAUCAUUCAGAAGCAGAAUU